GCAAAUUUUGCCAUGAGGGUCAAAGAGGAAGCAUGCAGGCCACAGCUGUCUUAAAUAAAGGACCUAACCAAUGCGCCAAACUGGGACUCAGCUGGAACCUGCUCCACACCUAGCAGAAUCGACAAUUCCGCAAUGUCUCUGAGACUGGCAAAUGGAAGUCGAUGUGUUGGUCGGGUGGAAAUCUACUAUGAUGGAGCAUGGGGAACAGUAUGUGAUGACCUUUGGGAUCUCACUGAUGCAGAAGUGGUAUGCCGCCAAAUAGGUUGUGGAAAACCCAUCUCUUUUCACGUAAAUGCCUAUUUUGGGCCAGGAAGAGGACCUAUUUUUUUGGAUGAUACCAACUGUCUAGGA